CAGAUGCCAACACAUGAAAUGUGAAGAAUGGAGUGGGCAGUGCCACUGGGCAGUGCUACUCCAGAAGUGUGUGCUGUGGCUGAAGCACUGCUGGUGCACAUGCUUCAGGUGAGGAUGGCUCCGUGUGAUGUCUCAGUAAUGGAUGGUGAAAUCUCCAUGGAAUAGGUAAUGAUGUCCCGAAUAAAGGUUGACUGAAGGUGAUGCCCAGAAGCAUCACCAGGCAAUGAUUUGUGAUGUUGCCAAGCAACGAACUGUAACAUCCACAGGCCAGGGACUGUGAAAAUGUGACUGCUAAAAGAUGAGUACAGUGGCUCAGCCUAUUAGCUUGUGCCCUGCCUGCAUUUGUGUGAGGACUGGAGCACAAACAAGGUGCACUUUGGCUCUGGGACAAGUUCCUUAAGCUGCUGUGGCAGCUGUCAGUACCCAUCUCAGAGCAACUUCUGGUUUACCAUGACCUUGCUUGGAGAUGACAGCUGGGACAUCCUGGAACCACAGAUGCAGCAGCACUGAGGUUUGGAAGGGAGGCUCACAGCCUGACGAGCCUCGAUGGCUGUGGUGCUCCUGGGGGACAGCAAGACAACCCUGUGAUGUGCCCCAGAACAACUGCCCCAUGAAAGGAGGCUCCUGCCCCUGGCCCAGCCCUCUCCAAUAGCCACUCCAGCUCCAAUGAAAGUGUGAUGCUGAGCACAUCUGAACAAGGCCAUGGUGGGUGCACCAGCCACUCCCAUUCCAACCCUGCUGAGGUCACCAUGGAGCAGGUAGCGCCUUGCAAGGAGACAGCACAACCUGCGGACACCAGCCGACAUGGGUGGACCUGGUGAGACCCCAAAGAGGAAGACCAGCUGCUCAUAUUUUGUCCCUGUGUCACUGGUUGUGGGGGAGCUGGCCUAUAUGACCACAUGGUCCUGCCCAGUCGGUGGGAGCUUCCUGUUCCUGAGGGAUUCUGCAGUGUCAGAGAUCAGCAGAGGCAGAGUAGUCAGACAAUGACCUGUAUCUCCUACUCCCUCUUUAUCACUUGCCACAGAAUAUAAUGUAUUAAAGCAUUAUUAUUUGCAAAAUUAUUUCUUCUAAGU
rnacentral:lncRNA from 1 species